ACGGAACGGGCCCCUCCGACCCGUCUAGUAACACGGACCAAGGAGUCUGACACGUGUGCGAGUACCCGGGUGGCAAGCCCGCGUGCGGAAUGAAAGUGAAGGGCAUGCCCUGCCAACCGACCUUGACCUGCUGUGAGGGGUUUGAGUGGAGCACACCUGUCGGGACCCGAAAGAUGGUGAACUAUGCCUGGGUAGGGUGAAGCCAGAGGAAACUCUGGUGGAGGCUCGUAGCGAUACUGACGUGCAAAUCGUUCGUCGAAUCUGGGUAUAGGGGCGAAAGACUAAUCGAACCAUCUAGUAGCUGGUUCCCUCCGAAGUUUCCCACAGGAUAGCUUGAACGCAACGGUUUUGUCAGGUAAAGCGAAUGAUUAGAGGCCUGUGGGCUGAAACAGCUUGCACCUAUUCUCAAACUUUAAAUGGGCAAGAGGCCCGGGAUGCUUGAGUGAUCCCGGGCGGCGAACGGCGCGUUCAAAGUGGGCCAUUUUUGGUAAGCAGAACUGGCGAUGCGGGAUGAACCGAACGCCGCGCUAAGGUACCCAAGUGUCCGCUCAUCAGAUACCACAAAAGGCGUUGGUACCUCCAGACAGCAGGACGGUGGCCAUGGAAGUCGGAACCCGCUAAGGAGUGUGUAACAACUCACCUGCCGAAGGUACUAGCCCUGAAAAUGGAUGGCGCUCAAGCGGACCACCGAUGCGCGGCCGCCGGCGCGAGCGCGAGGCGCCGGCGAGUAGGAGGGCGCGGGGCUCGCGGCGCAGCCUUGGGCGCGAGCCUGGGUGAAGCGGGCCCCGGUGCAGAUCUUGGUGGUAGUAGCAAAUAUUCAAAUGAGAACUUUGAAGACUGAAGUGGAGAAAGGUUCCGUGUGAACAGCAGUUGGACACGGGUGAGCCGACCCUAAGAGACAGGAAAACUCCGCCGAACGCGGCUGGUUCUGUCAGCCCGUCCGUCGAAAGGGAAUCGGGUUAAUAUUCCCGAGCCAGCGCGUGGAUGGUGGGCGGCGACGCGAACGAACCCGGAGACGCCGGCGGGAGCCCUGGGAAGAGUUCUCUUUUCUUCUUAACUGCCUCCUGCCCUGGAAUCGGUUUAGCCGGAGCGAGGGCUACACGGCAGGCAAAGCACCCUAAGUCUUGGGGUGUCCGGCGCGCUCCCGACGGCCCGUGAAAAUCCGGGGGAGCGGUUCGUUCUCACGCCUGGUCGUACUCAUAACCGCAUCAGGUCUCCAAGGUGAACAGCCUCUAGUCGAUAGAGCAAUGUAGGUAAGGGAAGUCGGCAAAAUGGUUCCGCAACCUCGGGAGAAGGAAUGGCUCUGAAGGCUGGGCGCAGGGGUCCUAGGCUCGAGGCCGGCUGGCUGCGCGGGGACUACGGCCUCACGGCUGCGGAUCCCGCGCGGCCGUCCGGCGGACGGCCUAGGAGCGCUCCGGCUCUCCCUGCGCGACGAACAGCCACUUCAGAACUGGCGCGGACAAGGGGAAUCCGACUGUUUAAUUAAAACAAAGCAUUGCGAUGGCCCGCGAGGGUGCUGACGCAAUGUGAUUUCUGCCCAGUGCUCUGAAUGUCAAAGUGAAGAAAUUCAACCAAGCGCGGGUAAACGGCGGGAGUAACUAUGACUCUCUUAAGGUAGCCAAAUGCCUCGUCAUCCAAUUAGUGACGCGCAUGAAUGGAUUCGUGAGAUUCCCACUGUCCCUAUCUACUGUCUAGCGAAGCCACAGCCAAGGGAACGGGCUUGGAAGAAUCAGCGGGGAAAGAAGCCCUGUUGAGCUUGACUCUAGUCUGUUACUGUGGAACGACUUGAUGGGUGUAGAAUAUGCGGGAGGGGCAACCCGACAGUGAAAUACCGCAACCGUCAACGUUGUUUUACUUACUCGGUGGCGCGGAGGGAGGCUCGCCUCACUUCUGGAUCCAAGCCGCUUCGUGCGCGCGAUCCGCGUCGGGGACACUAACAGGUGGGGAGUUUGGCUGGGGCGGCACGUCUGUUAAAAAAUAACGCAGGCGCCCGAUUUUGAGCUCAAUGAGAACAGAAAUCUCAUGUGGACCGAAAGGGGAAAAGCUCGGUUGAUUUUGAUUUUCAGUACGAAUACAAACCGCGAAAGCGUGGCCUAUCGAUCCUCUCGUCUUUGGGAAUUUCAAGCUAGAGGUGUCAGAAAAGUUACCACAGGGAUAACUGGCUUGUGGCUGCCAAGCGUUCAUAGCGACGUAGCUUUUUGAUCCUUCGAUGUCGGCUCUUCCUAUCACUGCCUCGCAGCGGGGGCCAAAUGUAGGAUUGUUCACCCACCAACAGGGAACGUGAGCUGGGUUUAGACCGUCGUGAGACAGGUUAGUUUUACCCUACUGCUGUCUGUUUUUCUACGGUAAUUUGGUUCAGUACGAGAGGAACCACCAAUUCGCAUCAUCGGUAUAGCCGCCGCCGGAAACGGCGAUGCGGCGAAGCUGCCAUGCGCCGGAUUAUAACUGAACGCCUCUAAGUUAGAAUCCAUGCCGGAAGGAAAGCCACCUACCGGCCCGGGGACGCCACGAGCAACGGUAGCACUGCCUGAGCCGCGAGCGACCACAAUUCACGGACCCGGGCCGACGAAUCCCUUGCAGACGACUUGAAUAAGGAACGGGGUAUUGUACGCGGCAGAGUGGCCUUGUUGCCACGAUCCGCUGAGAUUCAGCCUUGGUUCUGACGAUU
rnacentral:rRNA from 13 species